rnacentral:lncRNA from 11 species
UUGCAACAUUUGCAAAUACUUACUGAACACCUUAGAUCUGAGCAAUUUUAAUUUUCUAAAUUCUGGUUUGGAUACGUCCAACAUACAAGCUUGACCCUUGCCCAUCUUAGCUGAUAAAAUUUAGCACAAAUGCAUUGACGAGGACCUUAUCACACUUAACCUUUUUAGUGUCCUAGGAUGCUAAAGGGACAGUCCAGUGACUGAUCGUCACACUGCCCAUCAUACAACAUCACUGGACUUCCUGUUGAAGCCCAGAAAUAGAAAUAUCAGUUGUGAUCUUGGCUUGGGAAUGGGCACCGUGGAAACAUUUCCCCACAAGAUGGCAUUAGUAAUCUGAAGAAAGUAGAUAAGAAGGCCAGAAGAUCUUGCUUUAAAGGUAUUACUUCA